GCUGCCAUCCUGCUGAACAAACGCUGAUUGUUGGGAAUCGUUUGUCUUGAAUCCACCACCGAGGACACAGAAAAAGGGAGAGAUAAAGGAGGAGGGCAAGUGGAGGCACUCUGAGAUUAUUUCGAAUGCGUCUGUGAUGUUAACAGCUCUGGAAGAAGAAUGAGGAGAAAGGAAGAAGAUGAGAGUGUGAGGGUAGGAGGAAAGAGUGAAUGAAGAACCUCCCUAAUGUAGCCAAAAAAACCUUGGUGUACUGGAUGGAGUGGAACUUUUCUGGUAACAGUUCAAUGGCAGCAGUCUUCAGGAUUCAAACAGGAGGAGUUGGAGAUGGACUUCCGUUUGUUUCCAUUCUUUACCUUCAGGCUCUUCCACUUCUUCACAGGAGGUGCAGAGCAAGUGGUUGAUAACUAAUAAAGUCUCUGGCUUAGUGGUUUAAGAGCAACAGUUUCCAGCAACUGCUAGGAGAAAACAGCUGGCUUUCUUUAGCUUCAGGCAUUUUAUUGGAACGAGAGAGAGAAAGAGAGAUACCAUCUCCUCUUCCACAGGUCUGAAGGCUUCCACCAACAUCAUUCACACCCACAAGCUGUUGACUUUCCCAAGAGCUGACGAGAUAGUUAUCACCAGACUGUCCGUCACAAUUCCACAAACCAAUCAACAACCUGUUGCCGGCUAAACUUUACUUUGUGUACGCAGCCAAAUGCUGAACAACUUACCCCUUUUUUUUCAAAGCAACAGGAUAAUCAAACUCACAAUGAGUUUCAGAAACUUGUUUUUAAAAAGUACAGUAGUUUCUUGGUCCUUUGUUGUAAAUCGGCCAUUAUCCCAAUUCAAUGCUCAACGUAAAAUAAAAAUGUUAUUUUUACAACAUCCAAAUUCAUAUUUAUUCUCCAAGACCAACAGUCGUUCUAAUACUAUGUCAUGGGGUCCACAUUGCAUUGCACACUUGCUACAGUAUUCAGUCCAUCUAUCGCUGCCUCACUGCGGUUACAGAGCGAAUUGUAUGAAGACAAUGCAGCAACAUUCUAAGGCUCCUUCAGUUGCUCCUUUCAAACCAGUGAUUUCAGAGAAGAACAAGCCCAGCACAUGAUUGGGAAUGCCAUUGGUUAUAAGUUUCCCUCUGAAACAUGCACCAUCCUGAUGUGGAAAUUUAUCGCCAUGCCUUCAUUGUUGAUGAGUCAAAUCUUGUAGCUUCCUUUCUCAUGGUAUUGUGGGUGUCCCCACACCACGCAGACAACAGUGGUUUAACUGAGGUUCAGCACCACCUUCUUAAGGACAACUUGGAAUUGGCAGUAA